AGAACGAACGCUGGCGGCAUGCCUAAUACAUGCAAGUCGAACGAACACUUCGGUGUUAGUGGCGCACGGGUGCGUAACGCGUGGGAAUCUGCCCUUGGGUUCGGAAUAACAGUUGGAAACGACUGCUAAUACCGGAUGAUAUCGAAAGAUCAAAGAUUUAUCGCCCAGGGAUGAGCCCGCGUAGGAUUAGCUAGUUGGUGAGGUAAAGGCUCACCAAGGCGACGAUCCUUAGCUGGUCUGAGAGGAUGAUCAGCCACACUGGGACUGAGACACGGCCCAGACUCCUACGGGAGGCAGCAGUGGGGAAUAUUGGACGAUGGGCGCAAGCCUGAUCCAGCCAUACCGCGUGGUGAAGAGGCCUU
rnacentral:rRNA from 1 species